UACGUAAGGGGCUAGCGUUGUCCGGAAUCAUUGGGCGUAAAGAGCGUGUAGGCGGUCCGGUAAGUCCGCUGUGAAAGUCGGGGGCUCAACCCUCGAAUGCCGGUGGAUACUGUCGGGCUAAAGUGCGGAAGAAGCGAGUGGAAUUCCUGGUGUAGCGAUGAAAUGCGCAGAUAUCAGGAGGAACACCUAUUGCAAAGGCAGCUCGCUGGGACGUAACUGACGCUGAGACGCGAAAGCGUGGGGAGCAAACAGG
rnacentral:rRNA from 1 species